GGUCACAGACAUUAGCAAUGGAUGUCAGAUUCCAGGACCCAGAUAAUCACGUGACGCAACCGUCAUAUUGAAGAAAUACCAGCGUCACCGAGGCUGGCGACCAUGGAGGCGACCGCAAACCCAACGCCACACCACCUGAACUGAAAGACAUGAUCAAAUUCUGGACCGGAUGGGAAAAUCUGCCGUCAAGUCUGUCUGUGGAGAUUGUUCAUGGAAACUACCCAACAGCUGCCACAUGCUACUACAGGAGUUACAAAUCUUUCAGUGAUGAGUUUUUAGCAUGCAUUUCCUCUACGCAAACUGGCUUUGGCUUGCUUUGAAUGAUCGACCUGUAAAAA